AGAGGGUGAACAGAGACCUGCUAAAUCUUUAAUCCGGACUAACCAUCGGCCCCCUCU
rnacentral:tRNA from 1 species